AUUAGUAAUUUUUUUUUUUACUCUAAAUAACUUCCAGAAAUCAAAAGAUAAAUUGAAGGGAGUAAAUCACGAGGCAGCAGAUCCUCUGGUGCCGGAUUAGUACCUGUCCCUCUGUCCCCACCUAUCAAGGCGGUUUUAAUUUCAAAGUUAUAUAGUAACCAUACAAAUGUUCUUCAAUUCAUUCAUUCAUAGAAGAAAGAAAGGCUUCUUUUUUUUCUUCUUCUAUCAAGGAAACAUAGAUUUCUGAUUUAUGUUUCAGUUUGGGUGCUGCUGAAAAGGAUUCACUAUUAAGGUUAUUCUCCAUCUCUACAACGAAAAGGGGUCACUGUGAAGAGAAGAGCUGAUGUGGACAGGGGCGGAAGCACAGCAAGACUUCCCCUGCAUUGUCGAAGUGUUUAGUCUUUGCCAGUUCUGUGUAAAUUAGGACCCUGCACUUUAGUUGUUUGUGGAAAUGCCCACGAGAGGAGAACUUGUAUAAUUGUAUUGCCUGCCAGGGUGGGGGUUCUUGCUCGAUCAAUAAUUGGUAGAGAAUACAAGGAAUACUUUAGUGGAAAUCAUAAUACUGGUAUUCAUCAAAGAAGUGCAUUAAGGAAUCGCUGCCCCAUAUUUGUUGGAAACAGCAGUCGUCGUUAAAGAGAAUAAGAGUGCCCGAAAAAGAACAUGAUGUACAGUUUUGCUAUUAGGACUUUCCGAUGUUCUUUUAAGAGGGAGAAGCUAAUGAUGGCUAAAGAAUACCUGCGCAAAGGCUUCAUUCCCGAGAUCUCCCAACAGUAAAGGAGGAUCUUAUGACGUCAAUGGAAAAGAGUUACGCCCAUCCUUGGGUUGGACCUCAGAGAUGGGUUGGACUGCACCCAUAUCCAAGGGGACUCAUGCCUUGAGGGCUCAACUGGAAGCAGCAAAAUAUGAUGUGAUUAAGACUGAAUACGAUGAUAGAUGUGUGAAUAUUUUCUCAGCUGAAGGGAGAGUGUUUCAAGUUUAAGCUAUUAAGGUAAACAACAAAACAGUAAAGACGUAUUUCUAUUACUUUGAGUCAGUCGAUCAAGUUUUUCAUGGAUUAUUUCUUGCACAAAUUGAUCGAUGAAAUUGAGUCGGAGAUCUCAACAAAGAUAUCAUGGAUGAUUAAUCGGAAAAUAUCCAAUCAAGGACAGUCAAAUUGACAUAGGAUAUAUUUGUAUUCCCUAAAUGGAUAUUUUCUUCUAAUCAAAUAACCUUCCGGCAGUCAUGAUAUUAAUGGUUAUAUAUCCUUUCGGACCUUUCCUUAUUA